GUUCCCUACGGGGGGGGCGCAGUAGGGAAUCUUCCGCAAUGGACGAAAGUCUGACGGAGCAACCGCCGCGUGAGUGAUGAAGGUUUUCGGAUCGUAAAGCUCUGUUGUUAGGGAAGAACAAGUGCCGUUCAAAUAGGGCGGCACCUUGACGGUACCUAACCAGAAAGCCACGGCUAACUACGUGCCAGCAGCCGCGGUAAUACGUAGGUGGCAAGCGUUGUYCSGRAUUAUUGGGCGUAAAGGGCUCGCAGGCGGUUUCUUAAGUCUGAUGUGAAAGCCCCCGGCUCAACCGGGGAGGGUCAUUGGAAACUGGGGAACUUGAGUGCAGAAGAGGAGAGUGGAAUUCCACGUGUAGCGGUGAAAUGCGUAGAGAUGUGGAGGAACACCAGUGGCGAAGGCGACUCUCUGGUCUGUAACUGACGCUGAGGAGCGAAAGCGUGGGGAGCCGAACAGGAUUAGAUACCCUGGUAGUCCACGCCGUAAACGAUGAGUGCUAAGUGUUAGGGGGUUUCCGCCCCUUAGUGCUGCAGCUAACGCAUUAAGCACUCCGCCUGGGGAGUACGGUCGCAAGACUGAAACUCAAAGGAAUUUGACGGACCC
rnacentral:rRNA from 1 species